AUGGAAGGGAGCCGUGCCCAGGGUCCGGGGAGAGGCAAGUGUUAUAUGGAGGGUGUCAGUUUUGGGGCCAGUUGGAUGCUUUUCAGAGAAAUUCCAUCUUGCUGGUCAGAAAUCCUUGGGAAAAAUGUCUUGGGACGAAAAGGCAACAUGAGAAGGGCUGCCUGUGAGGGACGGAGCCGUCCUCCCGUGCGUGUGCUCUGUGACCUGUUGCCGCCAGAGGAGCCAGCUCAGCUCCACAUAAAAAGCUACCCCGGCAGGACUUCUGGGACCGUUUCCCAGCCCCAUGGGCCGGCGGCUCGCGGCGCGAUUGCGUGCCUCGGUUUCCCCGUCUGCAAGUGGGGACGCACGAGAUCUCUGAGAUUCCCUUCGCUUCUAAGUGCCGACAGCCUCUUGACGCCGUGUGAGGCCACGUGGCCCUGCUGCCCCCACUGCUCAGACGUGGAAGCUGAGGCUCGAAGGCAGAGGGCCAGUCACAAGUCUCGAAGUGGCUCCUCCUUGGGACACAAAGCUGAGCCCCUGUCCUGCUGCCCCCGCGUGGUGAGAGCCCACCGGGUGGCCUUGCAGGGCAGGGGUCCCUUUCCAGCGCCUGGCUCCUCUCGGCCCAGGGUUGGAUGCGGCGUCGCGGAGACAUCUGGGGGCAAUCUGGCCACCCCCUCAGCCUCUGGGUCUCCGAGACAUCCCGGGGCGUCCAGCACAUCUGGCCGGCUGGCGGGACCACAGCAAACAUCUGUCUGGGGGGGGGGGGCGGAAGGAAGCCGACGCUCCCAGGGUCUGAGGGCCGGGGUCCUGGCCGUGCUCCAGGGGGCCAGGCCAGGAACCACACAUCUCUGAGCCUCAGUUUCUUCAUCUGAGACGAUGGGCGGUUGACAAUGGCACCUACCUCAUGCAAUAUGUGAAGACCCGUUAACACUGCCCACAGCGAAGCUGCAUCACCGGCCACAACUGUUCGUCUCAGAGUCCUGCAGACUGUGUCUCUGCGCGCUGCGAAAAUUGGACCCUGGGAGCCGGCCCGGUGGCCUGUGGGGCUGCCUGCCGCCCCCCGUGACUUGGGGAACAGCGGCCGCAGGAGUGCCGUAUUUUAUCCUCUCCCGACAGCGCCAGCCCUUCCCCGGCCCUUUCCCUUUGGCUCGCAGCCAGGUUUGAGAGUUUUGCAAAAAUUCCCAAGACCUUUGGCCGUCUCGCCCGGAGAAAACGAGAGGCUGCUGCAGGCAGGAAGCAAGCCGCAUUCCUGGUCCCGAGGAGGCACGGCUGGCGGGAGGCGCGGAACGGCCGGGGCAUUCUUCAUUCUUCUCUGAGUUAAAAAUAUGUGGCCCGUCAGCUGCGGCACAGACCUCCGGACCUCAGUCCGUUCCAGAAAGCGAGAAGCGACGGCCGCGUCUCUGUCUCAGGCUGGGACACAAAGGAGGUUGGUCAACCUCAAAACUGAAGGCCCCCCAGCUGGCCUGUGUCCACCGCAUCAUGCCCCAGGCACAGCAACCCUGCUGCCGGGUCCGUGUGUCGUUAGCCACGCUCUCUGCUUCACACGCCACCCAGUUCGGGGGUUCAAGUCCCAGCUCCACCUCUUACUAGCUGUGUGUCCUCUGGAGAGUUGCUUUACCUCUCUGAGCCUCCGUUCCUUCAACUUUAAAAUGGGAGCAAGAAGGCAUGCCCGAAAAGAGGCCUCAGGACUGAUGAAGAUGGUGUCCUGGAAGCCCAGCAUGCUCUCAUUCCAGAAUCAGGCAGGGCCCACCCGUGGGGGAGCUUUGCCUCCCUGAUGCACAGAACUGUUGGAGGGGAUGCCCCCAGGGCUGGGAGUUAGGCAGCCAGAGCUGUGCUUGCUGUGUGGCCUUGGGCAAAUCACUGAACUUCUCUGUGCCCCACCACAAAAGAAGACAGUCGAACUGGAUCAGCAAGUCCCAAAAUGAGUUUUAAACACCGCCGUGGGCAAGACAUGGUAGUAGGUGGCACACAAGCAAAAAAUAUUUUUUUUUGGCAAUUCUCAAUAUUUAUUUUAAUAUGUAUUAAAAAUAUCCCCACUUUCAACCUGGGAAGUCACGGAUGGUGUUGCUAAGGCUGAGGCAAUGUCAGGGGGAUUUGAAGAAUGACGUUGGUAAAUAACGGGGUGAAGACCGUCGAGAUGGCCCAGGAAGGACCGAGGCUGGGGUGACCGUCCUGGACACGCGGCAGAGGAACUCAGGGCAGAUCCUGCCUCUCCCUCCCCGAACUUUGAAAGGAGGAGCGAGAUUGGUACCUCUGAGCCUCGAUUUGCUCCUCAGUGAAAUGGGGGAGAUAAAGUGCCCCCUCCCGGGUGAGGGGAAGAUUUCAUGAGAACGAGGCUUAUAAAGGGUCUGACGUGAGCCCGGCGUGUGACAGACGCCCAGUACAAUGAUAGUUAGGGCAGAACCCAGACCGUGGUCUAACUGACAAACGCACCAUCCCACGUCACCACUCAUUGUGUUGGGACCAUUUUCCCAGCCAACUGCUCCAAGCCCUUUACGUGAACUGGCGACGGUCAUUUAUUAAGCGCCUACUGUGUCACAGGUCCUUUGCAUGUUCUCUCUGACAUCACCCUCCCAACAGCUCCACGGGUCAUACUCCCAGCGGAUGUUCAGGGGGCACUUACUUGAUUCCCGACACAGGAAAUCCGAGAGUGAGGGGCUGGCGUAGUCACUGUGACUUGGUCCCCGAGUCACAGCCGAGUGGGUCAGAGAAGGGACCGAGCUCUGGGACGUGAGCCAUGUCUGUGAGUCCAGCACGCAGGCCGUUCCCACAGCUGUGAGGAUCAGGGCGUCCCCACCCUGCGGGCAGCGGUGAAGGAGACUGGAGACCCGUCCGUGUAGACGCGGCAGCUGGAGCCCUGGGACUGUCAUCUUCCACACGCCCCCCGUCGUCCACACUGGAGCACACGGCCGUCCAAGAGGCCGAGACAGCCCCAGCUGCCCUCACGGGAAAACAGACAGACAGGGUGACCGCUCAGCCCCUGCCUGCGCGAGGGGCAUCCCCACGGGAUGGAGGGACCCCCCCAGGGCUGCCCUUGAGAGAAACAUUGGGGCUCCGGCUCCUCCCAAAGGGUCCUGGGCCCUCAUUCCAUCCGUAAUGACUCCAGAUCCUGCCAUUCAAAGGGAGUCACUCUGUCUCUCACAGCGGGCUCGGGCCGGAAGUAGAGGAGACGGGGACCCUGGAGCGCUCCUGCAAGUCAGGCAGCGGACUUGGCUCCAACUUUCCAGUUCUUUGCCUUUAGCCCUAAGACCUGAGCCUCAGUUUCCUCAUUUGUAAAAUGGGGGUGAUCCUAUCAAUCUCAAAGAGUCCCCACGUGUGGGACCGCACACGUAGGCACAUCACAGGCAGCGGCAGGAAGGCGGCCCGGCAACCUGCCUGUGCCCUGCCACGGACUCUCCAGAGGGCAGCUCAGCUCUGGCUUCUGUUCCAGCAGGAACGGGCUAGGUAGGAUGGCUCCAGCCUCCUCCUCCUAGAAGCCUUCCUUGAUUGCUUUCUGCUGGGCCCAUGUCUCCUGCCUGGAAUCCACUGCAGGGCUUAGGUGAGAAUGGGACACGACUCCAGUGUCACAGCCUCGGGGUGUGGGGGCCUUUAGUGGUGUCAGGUUCCCCUGCUCGUUUUACAGAUGGGGAAACUGAGGCCCAGGGGUGGGAGGCGGGGCCCCUGCGGCCCUCUCCAUUGCCCUGUCCUCCCGCCACUCAAAGAGCACCGCCCUUCACAGAAGCGACAGAAACAGGGCGGCCCGUCAGGACAUCAGCCUCCACCCCCAGCCGAGGCUGCCCCUCACCUUCCCCAACCGGGAGAGCCCCGGGCCCUGCCCUCGCCCCAGCCUUGGGGUCUCCAGAAUGGGAGUGAGUCACCUCGUGCCACUUCUGCCAGGGAAGGCGGGCACAGUGCGUGGGUGUGCCCGUGGGUGUGCCCAUGCGUGUGCCCGAGAGUCACACAGCCGUGUGCUGCGGCGGGCACCACGCACGCCUGUGCCCUGGCGGGAUGGCACGUGUGUGGGCCCCCAGGGGAUCACGUGCGUGCCCGAAUGUGCACCAUGCUCGUGGGUGUGUCGAGGCCACAUGGGUAGACACCAAGGUCUUUGAAUGUCUCUGAGAAACUCCUAUGCCCACAACCCCCAGUGGCUCCCAUCACACAUAGAAGAAAAUUGGAACCCACACAGUGACCACGGGACCCUGGAUGGGCCGCCUCGUCACCCUCAGUGGCCUCAUCCCCACCCACUCGGUCCCACCAUCUCCCCACUCCUCACGACCUUUGCCUUGAGGUUCCCUCUUCUGGAACGUUCUGCCCCCAGAUCUUCCCAUGACCAGCUCCUUGUCAUCCUUCAUGAUUUUAAUAUGGCCUUGUUGCCGAGUGGGGGGAGUGUCUCCUGGACCCCCUGUAAUGGUAACCCCCACCCACUCCACAGCCCCCACAGACCGUCACCCUCACACCCUGGUUAUCCCCACACGGCUCUUCCCCAGUUGGAACGAUGUUGUUCCAUGUGGCUCGUUUUGGGAUCCCCGAAGAGUCUGCCUCCCCCAUGAGGCAGGACUUUCCAGGAGGACAUGGCCCUCCUCUGCCUUGCUCAGAGCUGGGAAGUUGCCUCGCACGACCUGCUCAAAAUACACUCAUUGGGCUGAACUGGAGUGAGUGUGUGUGUGUGUGUGUGUGUGUGUGUGAGCGGGAGUCAAAUCCAAACCCAGGCCAUCGGGCUGGAGCCCCGGGUCCUCCAGCCCAGGCCAGAAGCUUCCAAGGAGAACAGAGGACACGCAGGAAGCCGUGGGAGGGAGCAGAUCCGUCCCGCUCCAGCCCCCCGCCCAGCGCUGGGCGGCCCCAUCCCCACACGUGACAACAGCGCGAACACAGAGACGGGAGCAACAGCUGGUCCCACUGCAAUCCAGAUGUGGGAGAGACAGUCUUUCCCAAAAUACUCUCGUCGUGAAGUCAGAGGCCCUCUCGGUAUAAACAGAGCGUGCCGCGCGGGGCUGUGGGGGGAGCCGCUCGUGUCCCCGCCAGCGGGCCACCUGCCCAGGCCUCACUGGGCCCCCAGCCCCGUCUGCCCCCCGUCUUAGUGGGCUCUCGGCCCCAGGUCUCUGGGAAGCCCCUGCUCAGUGCAAAGCCACCGCCUUGGAGAACCAAUUACACCUACUCCGCGGCUCUGAACGGAGGACAGGCGCCCAAGGGGCUGGGGCGGGGGACAGGCAAGUCUCGAUGGGACAAGGGGCCUGGGGAGGUGAUUCUAAAGCUUGUGUGUUCAGCCUCUUCUUUUGUGGAAGAAUUUUCUAGAUCCCCACCCACAUCCUGGUCCGCUUUGCUUUCUUCCUGCCGUCUCACCCACGAUUUCACUCGAAGGAAGAACGUUGCUGCAAAUAAAAGGAAAAAGAAAGAAAUGGAAUUCUCUAAA
rnacentral:lncRNA from 1 species